rnacentral:rRNA from 1 species
GACGAACGCUGGCGGCGUGCUUAACACAUGCAAGUCGAACGGUAAGGCCCUUCGGGGUACACGAGUGGCGAACGGGUGAGUAACACGUGGGUGAUCUGCCCUGCACUUCGGGAUAAGCCUGGGAAACUGGGUCUAAUACCGGAUAGGACUCCUGGCUUCAUGGUUGGGGGUGGAAAGCUUUUGCGGUGUGGGAUGGGCCCGCGGCCUAUCAGCUUGGUGGUGGGGUAAGGGCCUACCAAGGCGACGACGGGUAGCCGGGCUGAGAGGGUGACCGGUCACACUGGGACUGAGAUACGGCCCAGACUCCUACGGGAGGCAGCAGUGGGGAAUAUUGCACAAUGGGCGCAAGCCUGAUGCAGCGACGCCGCGUGAGGGAUGACGGCCUUCGGGUUGUAAACCUCUUUCAGCCAUGACGAAGCGCAAGUGACGGUAGUAGCAGAAGAAGGACCGGCCAACUACGUGCCAGCAGCCGCAGUAA